GAGGUACUCCCUCUGUUCCAAAUUACUUGUCGCAGAAAUGGAUGUAUCUAGAACUAAAAUACAUCUAGAUACAUCCAUUUCUGCGACAAGUAAUUCGGAACAGAGGGAGUACAUU
rnacentral:pre_miRNA from 1 species